CUUAAACUGUGACAUCAUAGUGCUUAGUGUUUCUCCACCCCUGCUCCAUCUCUUUGGCAGCCACCUUCAGGGGAAGAGGAAAUGUACUGUGGAAAUAUGUCUCUAGUUGGCAAUGUGGCUGCUAUAAGACAGAUCAGCAACUUAAUUGAUCUUCCCCACCAAACUGUUCUGCAAGUUCUGUAUGUAGCACUUCCUGAGCAGCCACGUGGAAAAUGCAGAUAGUCUGCACCUGCAUUAAGUUGCUUGACCAUGACGCUGCAGUGAAGAAGUGUUUUAACCCAGGAUGGAAGGUCUGUGAUGGAGUAAAGGGCCGGCUAAAAGUACUGUGCCCACACUGUAACAAAUAGCCAUUGGACAUGAGUACAGAAGACCAGAUGUACUAAAUCUCUUUGGACAUGGCUGGAGUGAACUGUAGUAACCAUAUCUACUUCCAUGAUACUCUCUGGAGUUCGGGUGUAGCAGAAUGGUUUUAUCCAUAUGUCGAUAUGGGUAUGGUUCUGCUUAGAAAUAUAUGCAGCUUGUCACUAAA